rnacentral:tRNA from 2 species
GCCUCGGUAGCUCAGUUGGUAGAGCAAAGGACUGAAAAUCCUUGUGUCAACAGUUCGAUUCUGUUCUGAGGCACCA